ensembl:lncRNA
AGAAGCUCAAAAUAAAAGGGGAACUUGUGCACUGCACAUGAUUAUUUACAAGGAGAGAAAGCUGCAUUAGCAUGAAAAAUAAGUCUUCUACUAGAUUAGAGAUUACAGAACCACAUGCUUAAGGAGCGAUAUUAUGGAGAUCUUGGAGAUGGUUUAAAGUGAUUUAUGCUUGGGAUUAAAAAAGUAUUCUGUAAGAGUAACCUGCAAAUCCCAGCAAGGGUGAUUUCAAAGCUCACUGAAAAGCAGGAUCUUUUCCUUUAAAAGGGAUUGUUUUUCUUCUAAUUGCAAAAGAAAACCCUGCUGGAGAAGUAAGAGUGCUGUUAUCCAGCAGUCCUGACUGUCAGAAGGCAGCUGCUGUUGCUAGGAGCAAGCGAAGGGUACAGACAAAAUUGAUUCGAGUUGGACUGUGAUGACAGCUAUGAAUGCAAGUCCUACUUCUGGAAGGGCACACUAGCUUUUAUGAGGAGGGAGCAUUCAAAGAUGAAGGAGACAUGCAACAACCUUCUUUAUUCUUUUGCACAAGUCUGCCUACACCCAAGGGGACAGGAUUAUACAAGGUGUGUACACCAAUGGAUGAGAAACUUGAGCAUCAUCUUAGAAGUUACCUACUGCAGAGAGGUGCCCUUCAUUAUGGCUCAACAUUGCUCACUCUACUCUGCCUCCUAAGCCAUUACUUCUCUUUAUACCUAUAAUUAAAAGUAGACACAGUUUCAAGAAUGAAGUCAAGUUGAAUUCUUCAGAGAACUCAAGACAAAUAAGGUAAGGAAGGUGCCAACUGAAUUUGGAUUUUCAUGUGCUAUUUUCUUUGCCACAAAUACAACUUACUUUCUUAUAUGCCUAACAAAUUUCUACUCAUCUCCCAAGAUUAUGGUCAGGCAUCAACUCCUUUUUACAAUUUAAUUAUUUUUGGAUGCACUUAUCUUCCUCCCCUGGACUGUGAGCUUCUUGGUAAUAGAAUUUUGGUCCUAGUGUUCUUCUUAUGCCCAGUACUAAACACGGUGUCCCAAACAAGAGCCUUUAAUUAAUGCUCAGUAGUGUUCAGUCUUUGUCUACAUCAGAGUCCCAUGCAAAGGCACAGAGUUAUGAAAGAAUAUGUAGUAUUCAAAUCGAGUAUAGGGGUUGGAGGCCAAGGAACGCAGAGUGCUGCUGGAAAGGUAAAACGACCUGUAUGUCAUGUUAAAGGGUUUGAAUUCGGGUUUGAACCUGAAGGCUGUGGAGUAGGUUUUAUGCAGGGCAGUCGCUUGGAUGGCCAGUGUUGUGUUAGGAUCCUGCUGGCAGUAGUCAAAUAAAUCUGGCUCAGAUUAGUGUGUUGGACUUGCAUAUGCAGAAUUAGCAGGAAAAGGCCUUUUGGCAAAUGAAAAAGGUUUGUUUGGAUUCUGCCUUCUUCCUCUCAUUGCAUUUGGUGAAGGCUGCUGGCCAUGGGAAAUAGUCCUAGGGUUUAUUAUGUUUUAAUACCUGAAUUUAUAUGAGUAACAUUACUUGCAGCAGCCAGGAGUGGAAAAUGUCAGAGGAAAGAUAUUUUAGAGAACACUGUAGAUCAAACUGGGAAAACCACGAUCAGCUGACAAGUCUAAAGAACAGGAGAAAGGAAAAACUUCACCAUCACCAAAAACAACAACUGGAAAUAAAAGUCAGGAGCGUAAGGGAAGCUUGAACCUGGGACAAGAUUGAUUACAAAAUGAGAGGUGGUAGGAUAUGCGUUCUUGUCAGCUUCAGGUUGGGGGAAUGGGCCAGGCUGGGUUAAAGGAAGAGGGACAGGCUUGGGAUACGUGAAUUAGAGAAGAGUGGGACAUGAACGUGGAGGAGUAAGUCAUAAUUACAAUACCUGACAUACAUUCUGUGAUGCACAAUUGGCAGGUAUUAUUAGCAAGUGAGGGUGACAGCCUAUGAUUGUAAAAUAAUAAAUAAAAAAAUAGCAUGGCUUGCAUUCCCUCAAAAAGUCCUGAUAUAAAACAAG